CAUGAGUGGCGGACGGGUGAGUAACGCGUGGGCAACCUGGCCUGUACAGGGGGAUAACACUUAGAAAUAGGUGCUAAUACCGCAUAACGGGAGAAGCCGCAUGGCUUUUUCCUGAAAACUCCGGUGGUACAGGAUGGGCCCGCGUCUGAUUAGCCAGUUGGCAGGGGUAAAGGCCUACCAAGGCGACGAUCAGUAGCCGGCCUGAGAGGGUGGACGGCCACAUUGGGACUGAGACACGGCCCAAACUCCUACGGAAGGCAGCAG
rnacentral:rRNA from 1 species